GGGGUUGUGGCUCAGUGGUAGAGUACUCACCUAGCACGUGUGAGGCACUGAGUUUGAUCCUUAGCACCACA
rnacentral:tRNA from 1 species